CCGAGGGAGACGGUUCACCUCUAUACAAUAGCUUGCGAUUUUGAGGAACUAAUUUUUUCUGUAGAAUUCGAUAGUUCGCGGGCCCGAUAAAAGCGCUUGUGAUUUUGAAACGCUACUUCUCCGGUCUAACUAUAGAGUUUGCUAAGUACCACCGUCAGUGGAGCUAGUAUUUUCUCAUUCUUGUCAGUUGUGAGAGUUUUCGGUGGCAUUUUUUUUUCCGUGACUUUCAUGAUUUUCGGUUGGAGGAUAUCGUUCUGGAAGUCAUUCGGUCCCUGAGUAUGCGGUAUGCGCUUCGGCAGUAUUUAUUUGUUACGAGUAUGUUGUGGUCUCUCCAACAUUCGUCAAGGCGGUGUACGAAGACUAAGAAUUUUCACUUUGCGUCAGAGCUGCUCCUGACUUUACGGAUCAUCGCUUCAUCACGGUAAAAUCUCUCCAACUCCUUCCUGCUCUCAGAAUUAAUUGCGAACGAAUUGCAGAAUAUUGCAGAAUAUAUGUAAUUGCAAUUACAUUUUGCAUAAGAACAUUAAUGGCACUUGCGCUGUUCUAAAAAUGAGUCUUAAAUAUUAAUUCCUCAUUGCAAAAUAGUUUGACACCAUAGAAAUGAAGAAUUUUUUUUGCUUCUUUUUUUUGUGGUGUCGCGUUAUCAAAAAGAUUUCAGUUUUUUUAAUUUCUGAGCGGCAGGGAUGUAUCUAACAUAUGACGGUGAAACUACUAAACCACGUAUCUCGUUUCGAUUGUAUGAAAUCAUCAGAAUGGAUGGGAGUUAUUGGUGAAAGAGGGGUGAAUAGAGUCAUCGUGAGAGUUGUACAUUUGGAAAAUCAAGAAAAUUUAGAAUGGAAUUUGUGAAUAUUAUCUUCAUUGUACAUUCCAUCGAUUAUCUUCAUUUCGUUCCUCUUUUUUUAUUAGUAAUGAUAGUUGCAUCCUUGUUAAAUAUUUUAUUCCAUAGCAAUAAAUUAUUUCAUUAAUACAAUUUUUGUUUUGGGGCUGCAAUGCUCCUCUCUCAAACAUAAAUUCAGAAAUUUUGCAACGCUGGGCCUCCAAAGAUUUGCCAUUGAUUCUAUGUUUUCUUGCAUCAAAAAACUUUAUCAAUUGAGUGAGAUUUAUUCUGCUGGAGAAGAAAUAGAGGUAGGAGAAAAGAGAAGAAAGGAGAGAAGAAAGGAGAGAAGAAA